rnacentral:rRNA from 1 species
CGGGUGAGUAAUGCGUGACCAACCUGCCCCAUGCUCCAGAAUAGCUCUUGGAAACGGGUGGUAAUGCUGGAUGCUCCAACUUGACGCAUGUCUUGUUGGGAGAGUGUUUAGUGGCAUGGGAUGGGGUCGCGUCCUAUCAGCUUGUAGGCGGGGUAAUGGCCCACCUAGGCUUCGACGGGUAGCCGGCCUGAGAGGGCGGACGGCCACAUUGGGACUGAGAUACGGCCCAGACUCCUACGGGAGGCAGCAGUC